UGGGAGAUCGUCUAAUGGUAGGACAGUGGACUCUGAAUCCGCUAAUCUAGGUUCGAAUCCUAGUCUCCCAG
rfam:Bacteroidetes bacterium RIFCSPHIGHO2_02_FTLL_44_7 rifcsphigho2_02_scaffold_493560, whole genome shotgun sequence.